rnacentral:rRNA from 1 species
GACGAACGCUGGCGGCGUGCUUAACACAUGCAAGUCGAACGAAGUGGCGAACGGGUGAGUAACGCGUAAUCAACCUGCCCUUCAGCGGGGGACAACAGUUGGAAACGACUGCUAAUACCCCAUACUGAAGGAGGGGAUUGCGUCUGAUUAGCUAGUUGGGGGGGUAACGGCCCACCAAGGCGAUGAUCGGUAGCCGGUCGUGAGGGGUGAACGGCCACAUUGGGACUGAGGAACGGCCCAGACGCCUACGGGAGGCAGCAGUGGGGGAUCUUCCGCAAUGGACGAAAGUCUGACGGAGCAACGCCGCGUGAGGGAUGACGGCCUUCGGGUUGUAAAGCUCUGUUAAUCGGGACGCGGUACCGGAAUAGAAAGCCACGGCUAACUACGUGCCAGCAGCCGCGGUAAUUC